rnacentral:rRNA from 1 species
AUUGAACGCUGGCGGCAUGCUUUACACAUGCAAGUCGAACGGCAGCGGGGUAGUGCUUGCACUACUGCCGGCGAGUGGCGAACGGGUGAGUAAUAUAUCGGAACGUACCGAGUAAUGGGGGAUAACCAAUCGAAAGAUUGGCUACUACCGCAUACGUCCUGAGGGAGAAAGCGGUGGAUAGCACGACCUCGCGUUAUUCCAGAGGCCGGUAACGGAUUAGCUAGUUGGUGGGGUAAAGGCCUACCAAGGCGACGAUCAGUAGCGGGUCUGAGAGGAUGAUCAGUCACACUGGAACUGAGACACGGUCCAGACUCCUACGGGAGGCAGCAGUGGGGAAUUUUGGACAAUGGGCGAAAGCCUGAUCCAGCCAUGCCGCGUGUAUGAAGAAGGUCUUCGGAUUGUAAAGUACUUUUGUUAGGGAAGAAAAGGGAUGAGCUAAUACCACGUUGUGUUGACGGUACCUAAAGAAUAAGCACCGGCUAACUACGUG